AGCGAACGCUGGCGGCAGGCUUAACACAUGCAAGUCGAGCGGGCACUUUCGGGUGUCAGCGGCGGACGGGUGAGUAACGCGUGGGAACGUGCCCUCUGGUUCGGAAUAGCUCAGGGAAACUUGAGCUAAUACCGGAUACGCCCUUUUGGGGAAAGGCUUGCUGCCGGAGGAUCGGCCCGCGUCUGAUUAGCUAGUUGGUGAGGUAACGGCUCACCAAGGCGACGAUCAGUAGCUGGUCUGAGAGGAUGACCAGCCACACUGGGACUGAGACACGGCCCAGACUCCUACGGGAGGCAGCAGUGGGGAAUAUUGGACAAUGGGCGCAAGCCUGAUCCAGCCAUGCCGCGUGAGUGAUGAAGGCCUUAGGGUUGUAAAGCUCUUUUAUCCGGGACGAUAAUGACGGUACCGGAGGAAUAAGCCCCGGCUAACUUCGUG
rnacentral:rRNA from 1 species